GCGGGAGUAGCUCAGAGGUAGAGCGUCUCCUUGCCAAGGAGAAGGUCGCGGGUUCAAGUCCCGUCUCCCGCUCCA
rnacentral:tRNA from 2 species